rnacentral:rRNA from 1 species
GCUUAUCACCAUUCCAGAUUGAAUAUACCCGAUCUCGUCUGAUCUCGGAAGUCACGCAAUCUCGGGCUUGGUUAGUACUUGGAUGGGUG